rnacentral:rRNA from 1 species
ACGAACGCUUGCGGCGUGCCUAAUGUAUGCAAGUCGAGCGGGCGAGAGGGCUUCGGCCCUCGAGCUAGCGGCGAACGGUUGAGUAACACGUAGGCAACCUGCCCCGAAGUCGGGAAUAACGCCUCGAAAGAGGCGCUAAUACCGGAUGUGGAUGCCUUUCGCAUGGAAGGUUCUCUAAAGCAGCGAUGCGCUUCGGGAUGGGCCUGCGGCCUAUCAGCUUGUUGGUGGGGUAACGGCCUACCAAGGCUCCGACGGGUAGCUGGUCUGAGGGGAUGGUCAGCCAGACAGGGACUGAGACACGGCCCAUGACUCCUACUGGGAGGCAGCAAUGAGGGAUAUUGCGCAAUGGGCGCAAGCCUGACGACGCGACGCCGCGUGGAGUGACGAAGUCCUUCGGGAUCGUAAAGCUCCUUUCGAUCGAGGACGAGAUCCCUGGGUGACCCGGGGUUACUGUACCGAGAUAAGCCCCGGCUAACUCCGUGCCAGCAGCCGCGGUAAUACGUAGGGGGGCGAGCGUUGUUCGGAUUUACUGGGCGUAAAGGGCGUGUAGGCGGCCACGUAAGUCAGGGCUGUGAAAGCCCGCGGCUUAACCCGGGAACUGCCGUCUGAUAACUGGAGGGCUCGAGUUGGGAAGAGGGAUGCGGAAUUCCUGGUGUAGCGGUGAAAUGCGUAGAGAUCAUGGAGGAACACCCGUGGCGAAGGCGGCAUCCUGGUACCAGUCACUGACAGCUGAGAAGCGAAAGCGCAGGGGAGCGAACGGGAUUAGAUACCCCGGUAGUCCUGCGCCGUAAACGAUGAUGCACUUAGGUGUAGGCGGGUAUCGAUCCCUGCCGUGGCCGAAGCUAACGCAAUUAAGCUGACCCGCCUGGGGAGUACGGUCGCAAGGCUGAAACUCAAAGGAAUUGACGGGGGCCCGCACAAGCGGUGGAGCAUGGGGAUUAAUUCGAAGCAACGCGAAGAACCUUACCUAGGUUUGACAUGCAUCUGAAAUCUUCUGGAAACAGGGGACCUUCUUCGGAACAGAUGCACAGGUGCUGCAUGGCUGUCGUCAGCUCAUGUCGUGAGAUGUUGGGUUAAGUCCCGCAACGAGCGCAACCCUUGCCCCGUGUUACUAACAGGUAAAGCUGAGGACUCUCGGGGGACUGCCGGCGUCAAGCCGGAGGAAGGUGGGGACGACGUCAAGUCAUCAUGGCCCUUACGCCUAGGGCGACACACGUGCUACAAUGGCGAGGACAGAGGGCAGCAAAGCGGCAACGUGGAGCGAAUCCCAGAAACCUCGUCUAAGUUCGGAUUGUGGGCUGCAACUCGCCCACAUGAAGCCGGAAUCGCUAGUAAUCGCGGAUCAGCCAUGCCGCGGUGAAUACGUUCCCGGGCCUUGUACACACCGCCCGUCACGCCAUGGAAGUUGGGAGUGCCCGAAGUCCGCGUCUUAACCGCAAGGAGAGAACGGCCUAAGGCAAGCUCGAUGACUGGGGCG